GUGGGGAAUAUUGGACAAUGGGCGCAAGCCUGAUCCAGCCAUGCCGCGUGAGUGAUGAAGGCCUUAGGGUUGUAAAGCUCUUUUGUCCGGGAAGAUAAUGACUGUACCGGAAGAAUAAGCCCCGGCUAACGUCGUGCCAGCAGCCGCGGUAAUACGAAGGGGGCUAGCGUUGUUCGGAAUCACUGGGCGUAAAGCGCACGUAGGCGGACCAGUAAGUCAGGGGUGAAAGCCUGGAGCGCAACUCCAGAACUGCCUUUGAUACUGAUGGUCUCGAGUUCGGAAGAGGUUGGUGGAACGGCGAGUGUAGAGGUGAAAUUCGUAGAUAUUCGCAAGAACACCAGUGGCGAAGGCGGCCAACUGGUCCGAUACUGACGCUGAGGUGCGAAAGCGUGGGGAGCAAACAGGAUUAGAUACCCCAGUAGUCC
rnacentral:rRNA from 1 species